UCUCAGCCCGGAGCGCGCACGCUGGUGUCGGGAGCGCGCACGGCGAGGGGCGGGGCCUUGCCAAAAUGAUUGGCGUUCCAUGGCUGGGCUCCUCCGCCCGCCCACCCGGGCACCGCUCAGCCUCAGGGUCGCGAGCUGUGGAAGUGGCGUAGCCAGAGUACCCCGUACUGUGUCGUGUUUCCCGCUGGCCCGAGCCCGUCUGCUCGACAGCGAGCCUCAGCGUGCGUUUGAUACCUCAGUUUAUCUUUCCGUCGUGCGCCUGAGGGUGAUGGAAAAGAACACUUGAAAACCUGACAAGGACGAGGCGUUGUUGCUCAGCUCUUGACAGAAUUACAACUUUGCCAGUAACUAUCCCUAUUUCACAGAUGAGGAAGGGGAAGCUCGAACUUAUUCAGUGACUCUGUUGAAGUGAACAUAAUUCGCGAGAGAAAGACAGGAUUUCAUUCUCGCCCCCAAAUUGCAUGUAUUAGAGACUAUUCUGAGGAAAACAGCGUUGCCGUCGCCCCCAGACACACACGCAACGAUUAUGAGAAGAAAUAACGUGAGGAGCCCAGUUCCCGAGAUUGACCCCACGGCCUGUACUGAGCUCAAGGCCCCUCUCUCUAGCUUAGCAGUGAACCGCCUUGUAGUCACAGCUUUGUACGCUAGACAGCCGAAGGGACCUUGGGAAUCGCAGAUCUCGUCCUUCUCUGUUUUAUAUAGGUGAGUACACUGUGGCCCAGCGAUCGGAAGUGACCAGCUCCUUUUUAAAACAAGAUCCCAAGAAGCAUCUACUCCGUUCCAUCUGCCAAGUAAAUCAAGCUCAGAUAGAACUGGCAGUUCUACAUUUUAAGGCAGAAUCCUUCUUGGUCCAGCACCAAUGUGACCUCCUCCUCCUGCUACUGCUACACCCCUGGAUUCAGCUAUGGUUCAUGCAAGAAAUUGUGAAGCCACAGAAGAGGGAGAUUUCUAUGAAGAUUGAUGGAGCUUGGUGAAAGAAGUCAUUUCCUGGCUUCCUCCACCCUUCAAAGCCACUGAAAAUUGGGAACAGAAAAGGGAGAGAAAGCAGUGGGAGAUCCAGAGGGUUGUCAAGCUUUGUUGAGGCUCCGUGGUGGGACUUAAAGAAGCGUGGGCUGCCAUACCCUCUGGAAUGACGACAUAUACAGAAUGGAAACAUAAACGUGAAAUAUAGAAUAUAAAUCAUUAAUGAGUUUUCAUUUAAUAACACUGACUUGAAUUAGAGGAGCUAUUAAAGACAUCAGUAAUGUGGAAGUAGAAACAGUGAGGCUUGAACUGGACAUUUAAAAGAGUGAAAGAAACCUUAAGGUAUUUAAGAUAAUACACUCCCCAAAUGAGGGGCAGAUCCUCGGGUCAAUCUGAGGCUGCUAUUGGGCCCUGCCAGAAGCCACAUGGAUGCCACUGAAGUUAAUUUUGAGUCCAAGUAAAUAUCUUCUCUCCUCUUUAUUAUCCUCUGAGUAGGACACAUACAGACACUGCCAGAUACAUUUUUAAAAGGCCUUUGUGCU